GCUGGGUAUGGUGGCUCGCACCUGUAAUCCCAGCACUUUGGGAGGCUGAGGUGGGGGGAUCACUUGAGCCCAGGAGUUCAAGACCAGCCUGGGCAACAUAGUGAGACCCCAUCUCUA
rfam:Nomascus leucogenys chromosome X, whole genome shotgun sequence.